GACGAACGCUGGCGGCGUGCUUAACACAUGCAAGUCGAACGGAAAGGCCCUGCUUUUGUGGGGUGCUCGAGUGGCGAACGGGUGAGUAACACGUGAGUAACCUGCCCUUGACUUUGGGAUAACUUCAGGAAACUGGGGCUACUACCGGAUAGGAGCUCCUGCUGCAUGGUGGGGGUUGGAACGUUUCGGCGGGUGGGGAUGGACUCGCGGCUUAUCAGCUUGUUGGUGGGGGAGUGGCUUACCAAGGCUUUGACGGGUAGCCGGCCUGAGAGGUUGACCGGCCACAUUGGGACUGAGAUACGGCCCAGACUCCUACGGGAGGCAGCAGUGGGGAAUAUUGCACAAUGGGCGGAAGCCUGAUGCAGCAACGCCGCGUGCGGGAUGACGGCCUUCGGGUUGUAAACCGCUUUCGCCUGUGACGAAGCGUGAGUGACGGUAAUGGGUAAAGAAGCACCGGCUAACUACGUG
rnacentral:rRNA from 1 species